rnacentral:lncRNA from 1 species
AUUGAUGUUCCUAAGAAAGCUGAAACAAUCACAGAAAGAGUUUACUCAGCCCCAGAAUAAGGGAUCUUAGAACUGAAAGGAUCUCUGUUAUCAUACAAUGGAUGUAUUAAUAGUGGUCAUCCUCGGUCUCAGAAUCAGUGUUGUCAGCACCUCAAUGCUCUUCGUACACUUUAUCAGAAAGCGACUUAUUUAGAGAGAGAGAGAAACAGGAGAAGGAGAAAGAAACAGCUAACUCUCACACUGAGUGACAGAAUCCAGAAAGAUGGAAAUCCAAGGAAGAAAAGCGGCUUCCACACUGAGUAGAAGGGAACAGAGAGAGAGAUGGAGUUUAGGAGAGGGGAAAGCAGUUUCCACGAG